UGACUCAGCUCAGCAAGGGAGCCCAGCAGCACCCUGCACUGAACCAACAACCUUCUAUUUCAAUGGUGGUGAUCCAAAUCAGUGUGGAGCAGAAUGCACCAUAGAGAUGUACAACUCUCCUGUUGAACACCUCAAGACUGAAGGGUAGUUAGUCAGGCACAAGACUGAACUCUAUGGAUUGAACAUCUUUGGAGAGAUCUGAAAACAGCUGUGGACCAGUACUCCCCAUCCAACCUGAUGGAGCUUGAGAGGUUCUACAAACAAGCUAAGCUUGUAGCAUCACAUUCAAGACUUGAGACUGUAAUUGCAGCCAAA